rnacentral:rRNA from 1 species
GUUCGGAUUGCAGGCUGCAACUCGCCUGCAUGAAGCCGGAAUCGCUAGUAAUCGCGGGUCAGCAUACCGCGGUGAAUGUGUUCCUGAGCCUUGUACACACCGCCCGUCAAGCCACGAAAGUGGGGGGUCGGCGAAGUCGCUGAGCCAACCGUAAGGAGGCAGGCGCCGAACCGAAACUCCGCGAUUGGGACUAAGUCGUAACAAGGUAGCCGUAGGGGAACCUGCGGCUGGAUCACCUCCUUUCUAAGGA